rnacentral:rRNA from 1 species
UGAGGAAUAUUGGUCAAUGGUCGGGAGACUGAACCAGCCAAGCCGCGUGAGGGAUGAAGGUACAGAGUAUCGUAAACCUCUUUUGUCAGGGAACAAAAGGCGCCACGCGUGGCGCUCCGAGUGUACCUGAAGAAAAUGCAUCGGCUAACUCCGUGCCAGCAGCCGCGGUAAUACGGAGGAUGCGAGCGUUAUCCGGAUUUAUUGGGUUUAAAGGGUGCGUAGGCGGCGAGUUAAGUCAGCGGUAAAAGCCCGGGGCUCAACCCGGCCCGCCGUUCGUAAACUGGCUUGCUUGAGUUGGAGAGAAGUAGGCGGAAUGCGCGGUGUAGCGGUGAAAUGCUUAGAUAUCGCGCAGAACUCCGAUUGCGAAGGCAGCCUACCGGCUCCAGACUGACGCUGAGGCACGAAAGCGUGGGUAUCGAACAGGAUUAGAUACC